GACUUGAUCUUGACACUUGAAAUUAAUUCUUGAACAUGAAUGGAUACUUGUAAUUAUCAUGAAUCAAAACUUGACUUUGUAGUGGAUUAAUUAAACAUGAUAUGGAAUGCCUUACAUGACAUGGCCAAUGAACUCUUCUCAGAUGAAUCACAGGAAUCAAAACUUGAGUGAAUGACAAGGCUUGAAUGUGCAUAGGUCAUGACUUAAGGGUUUGGGUUGACUUUGGUCAAAGUUGACCAAAAAGUCAA
rnacentral:lncRNA from 1 species